GAUGAACGCUAGCUACAGGCUUAACACAUGCAAGUCGAGGGGUUUUGAUUGAGAAGCUUGCUUUUUGAUUAAAACGACCGGCGCACGGGUGAGUAACGCGUAUCCAACCUGCCUUUCAUAUUGGGAUAGCCUUUCGAAAGAGAGAUUAAUACCGAAUAACAUAUUGUGAUUGCAUGAUGACAAUAUGAAAGCUCCGGCGAUGAAAGAUGGGGAUGCGUUUCAUUAGGUAGUAGGCGGGGUAACGGACCACCUAGCAAACGAUGAAUAGGGGUUCUGAGAGGAAGGUCCCCCACACUGGAACUGAGACACGGUCCAGAAUCCUACGGGAGGCAGCAGUGAGGAAUAUUGGUCAAUGGGCGCAAGCCUGAACCAGCCAAGUAGCGUGAAGGAUGACUGCCCUAUGGGUUGUAAACUUCUUUUAUAUAAGAACAAACUUAGUUACGUGUAACUAAUUGCGUGUACUAUAUGAAUAAGCAUCGGCUAACUCCGUGCCAGCAGCCGCGGUAACAC
rnacentral:rRNA from 1 species